rnacentral:tRNA from 1 species
GCCGAGGUGAUGGAACGGCAGACAUUGGGGACUUAAAAUCCCCUGGGAGUAAAAUCCCGUGUGGGUUCGAAUCCCACCCUCGGCA